GCAUAUCAAUAAGCGGAGGAAAAGAAACCAACAGGGAUUGCCUCAGUAACGGCGAAGUGAAGCGGCAAUAGCUCAAAUUUGAAAUCUGGCUCUUUCAGAGUCCGAGUUGUAAUUUGUAGAGGAUGCUUCGGCUUACGUUUCGGUCUAAGUUCCUUGGAACAGGACGUCACAGAGGGUGAGAAUCCCGUUUGUGGCCGAGACUUCUGCCAUGUGAAGCUCCUUCGACGAGUCGAGUUGUUUGGGAAUGCAGCUCUAAAUGGGAGGUAUAUUUCUUCUAAAGCUAAAUACCGGCCAGAGACCGAUAGCGCACAAGUAGAGUGAUCGAAAGAUGAAAAGCACUUUGGAAAGAGAGUUAAAAAGUACGUGAAAUUGUUGAAAGGGAAGCGCUUGCGACCAGACUUGCCUGCGGAUGCUCAACCUGUCUUUCGACUGGUGCACUCUUCCGCAGUCAGGCCAGCAUCAGUUCGAGCGGUCGGAUAAAGGCCUUGGGAAUGUGGCUCUCUUCGGGGAGUGUUAUAGCCCUUGGUGUAAUACGGCCCGCCUGGACUGAGGCCCGCGCUUCGGCUAGGAUGCUGGCGUAAUGGUCGUAAGCGGCCCGUCUUGAAACACGGACCAAGGAGUCUAACAUCUAUGCGAGUGUUUGGGUGUCAAACCCGUGCGCGAAAUGAAAGUGAACGGAGGUGGGAACCCUUUUGGGUGCACCAUCGACCGAUCCUGAUGUCUUCGGAUGGAUUUGAGUAAGAGCAUAGCUGUUGGGACCCGAAAGAUGGUGAACUAUGCCUGAAUAGGGUGAAGCCAGAGGAAACUCUGGUGGAGGCUCGCAGCGGUUCUGACGUGCAAAUCGAUCGUCAAAUUUGGGUAUAGGGGGCGAAAGACUAAUCGAACCAUCUAGUAGCUGGUUCCUGCCGA
rnacentral:rRNA from 1 species